GUCUAUGGCCAUACCACCCCGAAUAAGCCUGAUGUCUGAUCUCAGAAGCAAAGCAGAGUCAGGUCUGGUUAGUAUUUGGAUGGGAGACCACCUAGGAGGACCAGGUGCUGUAGGCA
rnacentral:rRNA from 1 species